rnacentral:rRNA from 1 species
AUUGUGUCAGCAGCCGCGCGGUAAUACUAGCGGUCCUUGUCGCAGCCAUCAUUAUUGGGUCUAAAAUAUCCGUAGCUUGCUUAAUAAGUUCCUUGUGAAAUCUCAUCUCUUAAGGAUGAGGCGUGCAGGGAAUACUGCUAAGCUAGAGACUGGAAGACGUAGAAAGUAUGUUCAAAGUAGCGGUAAAAUGUGUUAAUCUUGAGCAGACUCACAAUAGCGAAGGCAUUCUACGAGGACAGUUCUGACAGUAAAGGAUGAAGGCUAGGGGCGCAAAAUGGAUUAGAUACCCAUGUAGUCCUAGCAGUAAACACUGCAUACUAAACAUUAGUACCUCUUCGAGAGGUAUUAGUGCUGUAGGGAAGCCGAAGAGUAUGCUACCUGGGAAGUAUAGCCGCAAGGCCGAAACUUAAAGGAAUUGGCGGGGAGACACUACAACAGGUGACGCGUGCGGUUCAAUUAGAUUCUACACCGUGAACCUCACCAGGAGCGACAGCAGGAUGAAGGUCAGUCUGAAGGGCUUACCUGACACGCUGAGAGGAGUUGCAUGGCCGACGUCAGCCUGUGCUGUGAAGUGACCUGUUAAAUCAGGUAACAGGCAAGACCCACGUGUAUAUUUACCAUGUGUACAAUAUACAGAUUGCCUUGGUAACAAGGAUGAAAGUGUGGGCUACGUUAGGUGAGUACAGCCUGAAUCCCCUGGGCGACACGCGCGCGUCAAUGGUAGAUACAGUGAGAUGCGACUCCGAGAGGAGAAGCCAAUCCCAUAAAGUCUAUCUCAGUUCAGAUUGAGGUUUGCAACCCAACCUCAUGACGUUGGAAUCUGUAGUAAUCGUUUGUUAUCAGCGAACGGUGAAUAUGUCCCUGUCUCUUGCACACACCGCCCGUCAAAU